CUUCCGCCCGGAGCCUGAGGGGGAGGGGAAAGGGGGACGGAGACAUGAAGGAGGGCGGUACGGCUGCUAUGAGAAAAAUAUCAUACACUGGCUGGACUGCAAACAACAGAAAUUUAUUUCUCACGGUUCUGAGGCUGGGAAGUCCAAGACCAAGACACCAACAGAUUCGUUGUCUGGUAUGGCUGCAUUGUGUUCGCAGACUUUCUCACUAUGUCUUCCAAGAUGUGAAAUGGAAGUUCAGAAGAGCUACAGUGUAUGCUAAGUGAAAUAAGUCAAACAGAAAAAGGAUGGCAGCAGCAGUCCCAGGCACAACAACAUCAAGAAAAAUAAGAGAGAUCAUCUUUUUCUGGGCCUUUGUCUUAGGAAUAAGGGAUGAAGGAAGCCAGGAUGAGGGUAGGGGCCAACUAUGUCCAUUGCACAAAGAAAGGAUUCUACAGUCAAAUAUGUAUGACUGGAAAAGCUAUGAAAACCAGUACUCACAAUGGCUCAUAAGGAUGUAAUGAGUUUCGGGGCACCUGGGUGGCUCAGUUGGUUAGGUGUCCAACUCUUGAUUUCUGUUCAGGUCAUGAUCUUGGGGUCAUGGGAUAGAGGCCCUCGGCAGGCUCUGCACAGCAUGGAGCCUUCUCUAGGAUUCUCUCUCUCUCUCUCCCUCUGCCCCUCCACCUUGCUUACUCUCUCUUUAAAAAAAAAAAAAAAUGUAAUGAGUUUCAUAAACCCUUAAUUCUGAGGGGCUCCCCUUAUCAAUGCCCCACACCAAUGAUCCUCAUGAGUCAGACUUUCCAGAGAUGCUUUCAUAAUAAGAGAUGGAGAGAACUAUUUAUGCAAUUGCUAUUUGGGGUCAGUGAAAGGACAUUGGUCAAGACCACUUCUGGCUUGGGAAGUAAGCAGUCUCCUUAACCAGUGAGCUGAAGCAGCUGUUUAAUACCCAGCCUUAGCAGUAAGGAUGUAUAUGAGUUAUCAAUUGCUGGGUAACAAGUUACUCCACAACAUAAUGGCUUAAAAGAACAAUGAGCAUUGGGGCGCCUGGGUGGCUCAGUCGUUAAGCGUCUGCC